rnacentral:tRNA from 1 species
UGAUGUGGCUCAAUGGCAGAGCAGCUGAUUUGUAAUCAGCAGGUUGUAGGUUCGACUCCUAUCAUCA